UUUAACUUUUUAGUCAAAAGGUUAAAAUUAAUUUAAAAGACGAGAAGACCCUAUAGAGCUUCAUAUAACAAUUAUUUAAUUUAUUAAGAUUUAUUAAAUUUAAUUAUUUGGUUAUAUUUUGUUGGGGUGACAGUAAAAUUAAAAAAACUUUUAUUAUUAAUUUACAUUUAUUUAUGAUUAAAUGAUCCAGUUUUAUUGAUUAUAAAUUUAAGUUACCUUAGGGAUAACAGCGUAAUUUUUUUUGAGAGUUCUUAUCGACAAAAAAGAUUGCGACCUCGAUGUUGGAUUAAGAGUAAUUUUGGGU
rnacentral:rRNA from 1 species